rnacentral:rRNA from 1 species
AUUGAACGCUGGCGGCAUGCCUUACACAUGCAAGUCGAACGGCAGCACGGGAGCAAUCCUGGUGGCGAGUGGCGAACGGGUGAGUAAUAUAUCGGAACGUGCCCAGUCGUGGGGGAUAACGCAGCGAAAGCUGUGCUAAUACCGCAUACGAUCUAUGGAUGAAACCGGGGGAUCGCAAGACCUCGCGCGAUUGGAGCGGCCGAUAUCAGAUUAGCUAGUUGGUGAGGUAAAGGCUCACCAAGGCGACGAUCUGUAGCUGGUCUGAGAGGACGACCAGCCACACUGGAACUGAGACACGGUCCAGACUCCUACGGGAGGCAGCAGUGGGGAAUUUUGGACAAUGGGCGAAAGCCUGAUCCAGCAAUGCCGCGUGCAGGAUGAAGGCCUGCGGGUUGUAAACUGCUUUUGUACGGAACGAAACGGUGAGCUCUAAUACAGUUUGCUAAUGACGGUACCGUAAGAAUAAGCACCGGCUAACUACGUGCCAGCCGCCGCCGUAACAC